rnacentral:rRNA from 1 species
AUGCUUUACACAUGCAAGUCGAACGGCAGCACGGACUUCGGUCUGGUGGCGAGUGGCGAACGGGUGAGUAAUAUAUCGGAACGUGCCCAGUCGUGGGGGAUAACGUAGUGAAAAUUACGCUAAUACCGCAUACGAUCUACGGAUGAAAGCGGGGGACUCGCAAGAGCCUCGCGCGAUUGGAGCGGCCGAUAUCAGAUUAGGUAGUUGGUGAGGUAAAGGCUCACCAAGCCCGCGAUCUGUAGCUGGUCUGAGAGGACGACCAGCCACACUGGAACUGAGACACGGUCCAGACUCCUACGGGAGGCAGCAGUGGGGAAUUUUGGACAAUGGACGAAAGUCUGAUCCAGCCAUUCCGCGUGCAGGAUGAAGGCCCUCGGGUUGUAAACUGCUUUUGUACGGAACGAAAAGGUCUCUCCUAAUACGAGAGGCUCAUGACGGUACCGUAAGAAUAAGCACCGGCUAACUACGUGCCAGCAGCCGCGGUAAUACGUAGGGUGCAAGCGUUAAUCGGAAUUACUGGGCGUAAAGCGUGCGCAGGCGGUUAUAUAAGACAGAUGUGAAAUCCCCGGGCUCAACCUGGGAACUGCAUUUGUGACUGUAUAGCUAGAGUACGGUAGAGGGGGAUGGAAUUCCGCGUGUAGCAGUGAAAUGCGUAGAUAUGCGGAGGAACACCGAUGGCGAAGGCAAU